CCGUUUCAUUGAUCCAACUAAACAUUAUUAGAAGAAGCAAUAGAUAAAAAAUGGCUAAGUAUUUUCUAUGUGUUCAUUUGACAUAGGAUGGGUGUGGGUGGCCUUUUCUUUCAUUUGCGCUCAUGUUGCUCUAUUUGAUGCUCUGUAGCAAAAUGGCCUCUGCCUUUUCAUUUGUGGGAUUUCGUUCUGCGUUUUUUUUCAUUUCCAGAUUGUACAACUGCUAUAGCGCCCCGUUGUUCUCUGUGUGGAUGGUGGCUACAAAGGAGGCAGGCAGCGGCGCACAAGUCCCGCCUGUAUUUCCCUCUGGAGGAGUCUCAGUGUCGGCGCUCCCGACUGGGGAUUGGAGCGGCGGCUUGUCAUUAAAUGAGCCCACCCUUCACACAGUGUGUAUGAGGGACACCGAGCCAGACAGUGACGGAUCUGAUCCUCCUGCCCGUCACACCAGCACGCCACAAUAUCAACCCGGAGCCAUCCGCCGCGCUGUGACACCUGGCCGGGAUGGAGGGAGAGAUGCAGCCCGCAGAUGAAGGGCCCUGCGCCCCGAAGAUGAGCCGACAGCAACGGGGUCCGUACAGCACACUGAAAACCUUCCAGAGCAAGCGCUCGGCGGGCAAGUCGCGCUUUGACAGGUCCGCUGUGGUCGAGGUGCCUCUGUUUGGCGACGGACAUCACUUCACUUUCCACCCCGAGCAGCCUCAUCAUUUCCAGCCGCACCAUCACCACCACCACCACCAGCGUCUGCAGCAGCUCCACCAAACCAGUGUCGCUAUCAGCAGCAGCAGCCAGCAGCAUCACCCGACGCCUCAGCAGCAGCAGCAGCAGCAGGAUCGUUUCCCAUGUGAGAGCAGGCCCAGCAGCAGAGUUCCGACAUCCACCUCAGCGGCAGCGGCAGCAUCUCCUGCUACCCAGCAGCGGCGCGUCAGCAGCGGCAGAGCGGAGCCCACAUCCUCUCCAGACUGCACCUACGGAAUCAGCUCAGAGAAUCGUCUCAUCCUGGAUGCCUUCGCCCAGCAGUGUAGCCGAGUCCUGAGCCUCCUCAACAACGGCCGUCUUCCUGGAGCCCUCCUCCUCCUCUUCCUCCUCCUUCACCUCCAACAUCAAGCUGGAAGACGGAUCAGGGGAGGUGCACAGACUUCACUGCUCCUCGCUGGGGAAGUCCAAACCUGA
rnacentral:lncRNA from 1 species